rnacentral:rRNA from 1 species
AAACCAGCACCUCAAGUGGUCAGGAUGAUUAUUGGGCCUAAAGCAUCCGUAGCCUGCUCUGUAAGUUUUCGGUUAAAUCUGUACGCUCAACGUACAGGCUGCCGGGAAUACUGCAGAGCUAGGGAGUGGGAGAGGUAGACGGUACUCGGGAGGAAGUGGUAAAAUGCUUUGAUCUCUCGAUGACCACCUGUGGCGAAGGCGGUCUACCAGAACACGUUCGACGGUGAGGGAUGAAAGCUGGGGGAGCAAACCGGAUUAGAAACCCCAGUAGUCC